GGCAGGCCGGGGCCAGAGGCCAGGCCCAGAAUAGUGCUGCCCAGCCGCAGUGUCUUGCUCUUUGUUGGUCCAGGCUGGCCGCAUGGAGCCCGAACUGGAGAGCGCGCUGCCCACGACCCCAUCCUGGAGCAGCCUUGGGGUACCAGAGCAUCAAGCCAAACAGAUCCCCUUCUGCUUUGCAGAGAUGGACUUCCUAGGGCAAACAGAUAGCAAUUCGUGGCCAUCUCUGGCUGUAACCACCAGUUCAGAAAGAAGCCAGGGGAGACGGGGGGCCAAGGCCUUGAGAUGGACAAGGCAAGAGGCUGUGGAGGAGGAAGACCUACCAGGCCUGGAGGAAGGAUCCCCAUCCAGGACAGCUGCUGAGUCCACCAGGCUGGAGGCCACAUUCCCUAAGGCCACACCCUUGGCACAAGCUGCUCCCAUGGCCAGGGUGGACACCUCACCAAUAGAAUGGGACUUCCUCCCUCCUGACUGUGCAGCCUCAGCUGCUGUCACCAGGACUGGUAAUCUGGGGCUGGGCAGAGAGUUCCCAGCCACGGCAGCCUGGGGGUAUGAGCUGGAGAGCUUGGCAGCAGAGAGGCCUGGCCCAUGCCCAUCCCCACAGGCCCCGUUACCUAGACUGGGCUGGGUCGAUGAACUACAGAAGCCGGAGGCCCAGGUCUACAUGCACUUCAUGCAGGAGCACACCUGCUAUGACGCCAUGGCCACCAGCUCCAAGCUGGUCAUCUUCGACACCACGCUGGAGAUCAAGAAGGCCUUCUUUGCCCUGGUGGCCAAUGGUGUCCGGGCGGCCCCGCUGUGGGACAGCAAGAAGCAGAGCUUUGUGGGGAUGCUGACCAUCACGGAUUUCAUCUUGGUGCUGCAUCGCUAUUACAGAUCCCCCCUGGUCCAGAUCUAUGAGAUUGAAGAACAUAAGAUUGAGACCUGGAGAGAGAUCUACCUUCAGGGCUGCUUCAAGCCUCUUGUCUCCAUCUGUCCUAAUGACAGCCUCUUUGAAGCUGUCUACAGCCUCAUCAAAAACCGGAUCCACCGCCUACCGGUCCUGGACCCUGUGUCGGGCACUGUGCUUUACAUCCUCACGCACAAGCGGCUGCUGAAGUUCCUGCACAUUUUUGGUGCCCUGUUGCCCCGGCCCUCCUUCCUCUCCCGCACUGUUCAAGAUUUGGGCAUCGGCACGUUCCGAGACCUGGCUGUGGUGCUGGAAACAGCACCUGUCCUCACUGCGCUGGAUAUCUUUGUGGAUCGACGCGUGUCUGCGCUGCCGGUGAUCAACGAAGCUGGUAUCACACCCGGGACAGGCGCCCUGGGUCAGGUCGUGGGCCUCUACUCCCGCUUUGAUGUGAUUCACCUGGCUGCCCAGCAAACCUACAACCACCUAGACAUGAGUGUGGGAGAAGCUCUGAGACAGAGGACACUGUGUCUGGAGGGAGUCCUGUCCUGCCAGCCCCAUGAAAGUCUGGGGGAAGUCAUUGACCGGAUUGCCCAGGAGCAGGUACACCGGCUGGUGUUAGUGGACGAGACCCAGCAUCUUCUGGGCGUGGUGUCCCUCUCUGACAUCCUCCAGGCACUGGUGCUCAGCCCUGCUGGCAUCAGCGCCCUCAGUGCCUGAGAAUGUCCAAGUCCUCACUCCAAGGGCACCUUCCACGCCCGGAAGCCGAUGGCGGGAGCCGGGGGACUCAGCCUUCCUCUUCCUCCACUGUUGUUUGCUGGUUCAGCUCUGAUUCAGCCUUCGCCAGCUCCCCCUACUUGCCCUUGUCUUGCCUGUGCUCCCAAAAGCCCUCAGGAAUGCCCAGUGCACCAAGGGACGAUGGAAUGAAGGAGAACCGCAGCGUCAAGCCUGGAGAUCUUGAGCCAGAGGCACUGGGGUUCCCCUAGGGUCAAUUGCUUUAUGCCCACCCAUAUUGCUUUCCCCCCACUGGGUCAUGACUGGCCCAAGAGGGCAUGAGCCAGCAGCCCAGCAUUGAUCAGGGGCUCUGGAUCCCUCAGCUCUGGACGACCUGCCACUUGUGCCCCCAGCUCCCGGGAGGCCUGGCCCCGUCCCCACGAGGGGAGCCACAAGUGCCUCCUUCCUCCCAGGCGCUGUCUGUCAUGCCAGGGCUGCCGGGGCCACCAUGGGGCGGCAGUUCUCUGCCGAGCUGCGCGUGGGAGCAGACUGCGCCCUCCACCUCAUCCUUAGCUCUCGCCCCCGAAUGAUGUUCUCAGCCCUCAGAGAUGACCCUGUAUUCGGAUCACUGAGGAUGGAUGAUCAAGAAAAAAACAAAACAAAAAAGGACAACCUAUGAACUUGGAUUUUAUAAGUUUCACCCAGAAAAUGCUCCAGUCAUUUGAUCUGAACUUGUGGCAAGGUCCCUAUGCUUUCUGAAUUCAAAGGCACAAAGGAAAACUCUGCAAGUGGCAUUUCUUCUGUGUAUAGGCUGUGACUCCACCAACAGGUCUUUUUCACCUUUUACCUUUUAUUUAUAACAAAACCAUAAAAAAUUAUU